UGUUCGAAAUGAGGAGAUUUAUUAUGAAAAUUGGCUCACACAAUUAUGGAGGCCUUCAAGAAGUCCCACAAUAUCGGCCGGGCGCGGUGGCUCACACCUGUAAUCCCAGCACUUUGGGAGGCCAAGGCGGGCGGAUCACCUGAGUUCAAGAGUUCCAGACCAGCCUGGCCAACAUGGUGAAACCUUGUCUCUACUAAAAAUACAAAAAAAAAAAAAAAAAAAAAAAAUUAGCUGGGCGUGGUAGCAUGCGCCUGUAGUCCCAGUUACUCAGGGAGGCUGAGCAAUUCAAGGAGAAUUGCUUGAACCCAGGAGGCAGAGGUUGCAGUGAGCCAAGAUCGUACCACUGCACUCCAGCUUGGGUGACAGAGGAAGACUCUAUCUCAAAAAAAAAAAAAAAAAAGAAGAAGAAAGAAGAAGUCCCACAAUAUGCCAUCUGCAAGCUGGAGAAACAGCAAAGCUGAUGAUGUAAUUCAGUCCCAGUAUGAAGGCCUGAGAACCAGGAAUUCUGAUAUCUGAGGGCAGGAGAAGAUGGAUAUCCCAGCUGAAGAAGAGAGAGGGAGAAAGAAAGUGAGGGAGACAGAGAGAGAGAAUUUGCCCUUCCUCCACUUUUCUUGUUCUAUUUGGCCCUCAAAACAUUGGAUGAUGCCACCCACACAGGGGAGAGUGGAUCUGCUUUACUCAGUCUACUGAGUCAAAUGCUAAUCUCUUCCAGAAACACCCUCACAAACACACCCAGGAAUAACGUUUACCAGCUACCUGGGCAUCCCUUAGCCCAGUCAAGUUGACACCUAACAUUAACCAUCACAGACAUGGAAAGUGGCAAACCCUGGAGAUCUGCAGGAUAUGUCAGAAUCCAAAACCUCAGCAAGGUAGGCAAGCUGAAAAAGCUCCGAAAAAGCCAAGCAAGCUGCUUUUAUCUUCCGACCCAGACAAAAUCCCUCUCCAAACUGGGCCAGUUUAAGGUCAAUAAGUGAUUGCAAUCAGCUGGCUCAAGUGGGUGCUUCCUGGAAUGGCGAAGCUAGGCAGUUUUGCCAGAAGUCGUUGCUGUGAGCAUCAGGGUUCAGAGUUGAGUCUUCAACACCAGACCUCUGCGAUGGGCUUCCGGAUUCGAGGCCCCGUCCCUUUCUCAGAAGGUAAGGCUUGCGUCAGGUGAACCACAUUGGUCGUUUGGCUCUAACAAUAACGGCGCCUUAGAAUGAACACUUCAGCCUCGUUUUGUCUCUUUACACUCAUAAUAACCCCUUGCAGAGUAAGGAAGGCGAGUGACUUCUAGUCCUGGAGACGGGGCCUGCAAGAGCCAGAGGUCAGUGCUCCUGGAGGGGAGCAGGGGGCGGGGACAGGGCAGGCGGAGGGCGGAGCUAGGGGGGAAGGGCGGGGCCUGUGGAAAGGGGGCGGGGCCCAAGGGCUGGAGGCUGGCCGGCUGGGGUGCGGCGGUGGACCUGCAGGUCUCCCCAGUCACCUGAGCCCAACCAGCGCAGCAGAGACUCUUUCUGCAGCAAAAAGAUCCCUCCAACCAAGUCAACUUGUUCUUCCUUCCCUCACGGUCUCCAUAACCCCAGCCAAGAAGGAGGCGACGCCAUGGAGUGGAAGAGUAAGGAAGGCAGAAGGGAAGGGCCAGAGGAGGCCCAGUGGGUGGAAUAGGCUGGAAUACUCGGUCUUCUUCCACACGUACUCUUAGGCUGCUCCUCUGCAACCAGGCCUCUCUGGGAGAUCUUGUCUUCUACAAAAUGUGUGCCGUGCCUUGUUACUAAGUCUGAUUAAUUUGCUGUAAUUGGGAAUUAAAUUAACUUAGGAAGCCUAGAUGCAUUAGGGGUAAUUGGAUCCCGGGAUGGCAGCACUCAACCCCUCCCCGCAACAAGGCAAGGUGGGCGUGGUUAUCAUACAGAACAGCAGAGUCAAAGCUGCAAUCAGAAUAGCUUGACAGAUGCAAACCUAGGGCGUUGGCUGAUUGCUGAUGGUGUUCCUACAAGUGAAAUAGAUGGGAAGCCUACUAAAUUCUUCCUGGAUCUGCAUAAGCAGAAAACUUCUAGGUCAAGUGAACAAAAGCCUAAGCUGAAUCAUAAAAAGUAGAAUCAUGGUGCUCAACCAAUUUUCAGACUUGAGCCUGUGUACAGACCUUGAACCCCUUGAAUAAAGGAAAGGUCAGAUCCCCUUGAGGAAGGACCUGGAUACACCACUGGAAAUACGUAUACUGUUAAUCUUUCUCCCAGUCUAGGGGAGGGACCUACAGCCUUUUACCAGUAUAACUGUACACUGGGGAAGAGAUAACUCUACAAUUCCUUUCGGGACUUCUUGACAUUUGCUCUAAACUGAUGUUGGUUUCAGGAGACCUAAAACAUCACUGUGGUCCACCAGAGUAGGGGCUUAUGGAGGUCAGGUGCUCAAUGAAGUUUUAACUCACAGUGGGCCCAGUGGGUCUCCAAAACCACCUGCAGUUAUUUCCCCAGUUUAAGAAUACAUAAUUGGGGCCGGGCACAGUGGCUCAUGCCUGUUAUUCCAGCACUUUGGGAGGCCGAGGCGGGUGGAUCACCUGAGGUCAGGAGUUCGAGACCAGCCUUGCCAACGUGGCGAAACCCUGUCUCUACUAAAAAAUACAAAAAUUAGCUGGGUGCAGUGGCAGGC
rnacentral:lncRNA from 1 species